AACGGUGGUUAGAGCAUGGGUGUUCACCUUUUCCCAUUCCGAACAGAGCAGUUAAGCCCCAUUGCGCCGAUGGUACUACAAUCAAAUGUGGAAGAGUAGGUCGCUGCCGAUC
rfam:Microscilla marina ATCC 23134 1099589004074, whole genome shotgun sequence.